rnacentral:rRNA from 1 species
CCUACGGGAGGCAGCAGUGAGGAAUAUUGCGCAAUGGGGGAAACCCUGACGCAGCAACGCCGCGUGGGUGAAGAAGGCCUUCGGGUCGUAAAGCCCUUUCGGACGGGACGAACGCUCCGCGGUGACAACCCGCGGAGUCUGACGGUACCGUAAGAAGAAGCACCGGCUAACUCCGUGCCAGCAGCCGCGGUAAUACGGAGGGUGCAAGCGUUGUUCGGAAUUACUGGGCGUAAAGCGCGUGUAGGCGGCCUUGCAAGCCAGACGUGAAAGCCCUCGGCUUAACCGGGGAAGUGCGUCUGGAACUGCUCGGCUCGAGUACGGGAGAGGGAGGCGGAAUUCCCAGUGUAGAGGUGAAAUUCGUAGAUAUUGGGAGGAACACCGGUGGCGAAAGCGGCCUCCUGGACCGAUACUGACGCUGAGACGCGAAAGCGUGGGGAGCAAACAGGAUUAGAUACCCUGGUAGUCCACGCGGUAAACGAUGGGCACUAGGUGUGGGGGGUAUCCACUCCUCCCGUGCCGCAGCUAACGCACUAAGUGCCCCGCCUGGGGAGUACGGCCGCAAGGUUAAAACUCAAAGGAAUUGACGG